UACGUAGGGUGCGAGCGUUGUCCGGAAUUACUGGGCGUAAAGAGCUUGUAGGCGGUUUGUCGCGUCUGCUGUGAAAUUUCGGGGCUCAACCCCGAACUUGCAGUGGGUACGGGCAGACUAGAGUGUGGUAGGGGAGACUGGAAUUCCUGGUGUAGCGGUGAAAUGCGCAGAUAUCAGGAGGAACACCGGUGGCGAAGGCGGGUCUCUGGGCCGAUACUGACGCUGAGGAGCGAAAGCGUGGGGAGCGAACAGG
rnacentral:rRNA from 1 species